GAUGAAGAACGUAGCGAAAUGCGAUAAGUAAUGCGAAUUGCAGAAUUCAGUGAAUCAUCGAAUCUUUGAACGCACAUUGCGCCCUUUGGUAUUCCUUAGGGCAUGCCUGUUCGAGCGUCAUUUAAACCUUCAAGCUCAGCUUGGUGUUGGGUGACUGUCCGCUUCACCGCGGACUCGCCUCAAAAUUAUUGGCGGCCGGUACAUUGGCUCUCGAGCGCAGCAGAAACGCGUAACUCGAGGUCCUCGUGCUGGCUCCCAGAAGCUAUCUUCACAAUUUUGACCUCGGAUCAGGUAGGGAUACCCGCUGAACUUAAGCAUAUCAAUAAGCGGAGGA
rnacentral:misc_RNA from 1 species